rnacentral:rRNA from 1 species
GACGAACGCUGGCGGCGUGCUUAACACAUGCAAGUCGAACGGAAAGGCCUUGUUUUUGUUGUGUGCUCGAGUGGCUAAAGGGUGAGAAAGACGUGAGUCACCUGCCCUUGACUCUGGCAACACUUGAGGAAACUGGGGCUACUACCUCUAAUUAGCUCUUGCUGCGCAGUGUGGGUUGGAAAGUUUCGGCGGGUGGGGUUGGAGUCGCGGCUUAGCGGCUUGCUGGUGGGGUAGUGGCUUACGAAGGCUUUGACGGGUAGCGGGCCUGAGAGGGUGACCGGACACAUUGGGACUGAGAUACGGCCCAGACUCCUACGGGAGGCAGCAGUGGGGAGUAUUGCACAAUGGGCGGAAGCCUGAUGCAGCAACGCCGCGUGCGGGAUGACGGCCUUCGGGUUGUAAACCGCUUUCGCCUGUGACGAAGCGUGAGUGACGGUAAUGGGUAAAGAAGCACCGGCUAACUACGUG